rnacentral:rRNA from 1 species
AACGAACGCUGGCGGCAGGCCUAAAACAUGCAAGUCGAACGCCCCGCAAGGGGAGUGGCGCACGGGUGAGUAACGCGUGGGAACGUGCCCUUCACUACGGGACAACGUCGGGAAACUGACGCUAAUACCGUAUAAUGACUCCGGUCCAAAGAUUUAUCGGUGAAGGAGCGGCCCGCGUCUGAUUAGUUUGUUGGUGGGGUAAUGGCCUACCAAGACUACGAUCAGUAGCAGGUCUGAGAGGAUGAUCUGCCACACUGGGACUGAGACACGGCCCAGACUCCUACGGGAGGCAGCAGUUAGGAAUAUUGGACAAUGGGCGAAAGCCUGAUCCAGCCAUGCCGCGUGUGUGAUGAAGGCCUUAGGGUUGUAAAGCACUUUCGUUGGGGAUGAUAAUGACCGUACCCAAAGAAGAAGCACCGGCUAACUUCGUGCCAGCCGCCGCAGUAA